CGCGGAUCCUGCUCUGGGAGCUGCGCUCCGUGGCCUACACCCUGGCGGGCGCGCGCUGACCCGCUUGGUUACUCCACGUUGCUGCCGCCGCCGCUUGCAAACGCUUCCAGCCUCCAGCUCCCUCCUUCUCCUGCUCCUCCUUCUCUUGCUCCAAACGCCAACCCAGCCACAGACGAUCAGCCGUCGCGGUUGCGUUCACCCCCUGCGGAUCACAACGGCAGCCCUUGCGACACCCUGGCUGGGGAGUUUUAUUCCUGAGGGGGUUGCGCAGGGGCUCCCUUGGACUCCCACCCUUUCCCAACCUCUGCUGGCUUCUCCCCAACGUGGAAUUGCUCGCUUAGGGAGCUUCUGGAGCUCCGCUCGGAGCGAACCUUCUGCUGCCAGCAGAUAACAUCACGAUCUUGCCGGGGAGGGGAGAUUUAUAAGUUCUCUCUGAACCACGUGUCUGCCUUCAACAAAGUGACGUGCUAGGAUUACAGUCAGAAGUCCUCUCGUUACUUAGACCACGAGCUCUCCCCGAACCGUUGAGGGAGUGUGGAAAUGAGGACCGCUGUGGGUAAGGGAGGAAGGAGGUGGAAUGUGCGCCCUGACAACAGUGAUUUACGGUAUUUACUUUCCAGUCAUUUUGGACAGUUACUCAAAGUCAACAUUUUCAUUUCGGCAUGACUCUGCAGCCAUACUGACCAGACAGAUGAUUUAAACUGGAAACUCUGUUGAAUGUACUCCCAAACCCAAGAUCUCUAUACUGUUCUCUACUUCAGAUGUUCCUGAGUUCAGAAAAGUCACAAAGAACUUUCUAUCACUUUUGGAAUUUAUACUUCAGUUGUGUAUGGGGCCUAGGUUAUUAGUAGAGCACUGAAUAAAUAAAAUAAUAAUAGCUAACAUAUACUACACUUAGUAAUUUGAUGUGUGUUGUGUAUGGUCAUUUAAUCUUCA
rnacentral:lncRNA from 1 species